GCGUUGAUGGUGUAAUGGUUAGCAUUGCUGCCUUCCAAGCAGUAGAUCUGGGUUCGAUUCCCAGUCAACGCA
rnacentral:tRNA from 1 species